rnacentral:rRNA from 1 species
UACGUAGGGGGGCAAGCGUUGUCCGGAUUUAUUGGGCGUAAAGGGUGCGUAGGCGGCGCGGUAAGUCGGGUGUGAAAUCUCGGGGCUUAACUCCGAAACUGCAUUCGAUACUGCCGUGCUUGAGGACUGGAGAGGAGACUGGAAUUUACGGUGUAGCGGUGAAAUGCGUAGAUAUCGUAAGGAAGACCAGUGGCGAAGGCGGGUCUCUGGACAGUUCCUGACGCUGAGGCACGAAGGCCAGGGGAGGCAAACGGG